GGGUUGUGAGGUUAAGCGACUAAGCGUACACGGUGGAUGCCCUGGCAGUCAGAGGCGAUGAAGGACGUGCUAAUCUGCGAUAAGCGUCGGUAAGGUGAUAUGAACCGUUAUAACCGGCGAUUUCCGAAUGGGGAAACCCAGUGUGUUUCGACACACUAUCAUUAACUGAAUCCAUAGGUUAAUGAGGCGAACCGGGGGAACUGAAACAUCUAAGUACCCCGAGGAAAAGAAAUCAACCGAGAUUCCCCCAGUAGCGGCGAGCGAACGGGGAGCAGCCCAGAGCCUGAAUCAGUGUGUGUGUUAGUGGAAGCGUCUGGAAAGGCGCGCGAUACAGGGUGACAGCCCCGUACACAAAAAUGCACAUGCUGUGAGCUCGAUGAGUAGGGCGGGACACGUGGUAUCCUGUCUGAAUAUGGGGGGACCAUCCUCCAAGGCUAAAUACUCCUGACUGACCGAUAGUGAACCAGUACCGUGAGGGAAAGGCGAAAAGAACCCCGGCGAGGGGAGUGAAAAAGAACCUGAAACCGUGUACGUACAAGCAGUGGGAGCACGCUUAGGCGUGUGACUGCGUACCUUUUGUAUAAUGGGUCAGCGACUUAUAUUCUGUAGCAAGGUUAACCGAAUAGGGGAGCCGAAGGGAAACCGAGUCUUAACUGGGCGUUAAGUUGCAGGGUAUAGACCCGAAACCCGGUGAUCUAGCCAUGGGCAGGUUGAAGGUUGGGUAACACUAACUGGAGGACCGAACCGACUAAUGUUGAAAAAUUAGCGGAUGACUUGUGGCUGGGGGUGAAAGGCCAAUCAAACCGGGAGAUAGCUGGUUCUCCCCGAAAGCUAUUUAGGUAGCGCCUCGUGAAUUCAUCUCCGGGGGUAGAGCACUGUUUCGGCAAGGGGGUCAUCCCGACUUACCAACCCGAUGCAAACUACGAAUACCGGAGAAUGUUAUCACGGGAGACACACGGCGGGUGCUAACGUCCGUCGUGAAGAGGGAAACAACCCAGACCGCCAGCUAAGGUCCCAAAGUCAUGGUUAAGUGGGAAACGAUGUGGGAAGGCCCAGACAGCCAGGAUGUUGGCUUAGAAGCAGCCAUCAUUUAAAGAAAGCGUAAUAGCUCACUGGUCGAGUCGGCCUGCGCGGAAGAUGUAACGGGGCUAAACCAUGCACCGAAGCUGCGGCAGCGACGCUGAUGCGUUGUUGGGUAGGGGAGCGUUCUGUAAGCCUGCGAAGGUGUGCUGUGAGGCAUGCUGGAGGUAUCAGAAGUGCGAAUGCUGACAUAAGUAACGAUAAAGCGGGUGAAAAGCCCGCUCGCCGGAAGACCAAGGGUUCCUGUCCAACGUUAAUCGGGGCAGGGUGAGUCGACCCCUAAGGCGAGGCCGAAAGGCGUAGUCGAUGGGAAACAGGUUAAUAUUCCUGUACUUGGUGUUACUGCGAAGGGGGACGGAGAAGGCUAUGUUGGCCGGGCGACGGUUGUCCCGGUUUAAGCGUGUAGGCUGGUUUUCCAGGCAAAUCCGGAAAAUCAAGGCUGAGGCGUGAUGACGAGGCACUACGGUGCUGAAGCAACAAAUGCCCUGCUUCCAGGAAAAGCCUCUAAGCAUCAGGUAACAUCAAAUCGUACCCCAAACCGACACAGGUGGUCAGGUAGAGAAUACCAAGGCGCUUGAGAGAACUCGGGUGAAGGAACUAGGCAAAAUGGUGCCGUAACUUCGGGAGAAGGCACGCUGAUAUGUAGGUGAAGUCCCUCGCGGAUGGAGCUGAAAUCAGUCGAAGAUACCAGCUGGCUGCAACUGUUUAUUAAAAACACAGCACUGUGCAAACACGAAAGUGGACGUAUACGGUGUGACGCCUGCCCGGUGCCGGAAGGUUAAUUGAUGGGGUUAGCGCAAGCGAAGCUCUUGAUCGAAGCCCCGGUAAACGGCGGCCGUAACUAUAACGGUCCUAAGGUAGCGAAAUUCCUUGUCGGGUAAGUUCCGACCUGCACGAAUGGCGUAAUGAUGGCCAGGCUGUCUCCACCCGAGACUCAGUGAAAUUGAACUCGCUGUGAAGAUGCAGUGUACCCGCGGCAAGACGGAAAGACCCCGUGAACCUUUACUAUAGCUUGACACUGAACAUUGAGCCUUGAUGUGUAGGAUAGGUGGGAGGCUUUGAAGUGUGGACGCCAGUCUGCAUGGAGCCGACCUUGAAAUACCACCCUUUAAUGUUUGAUGUUCUAACGUGGACCCGUAAUCCGGGUUGCGGACAGUGUCUGGUGGGUAGUUUGACUGGGGCGGUCUCCUCCUAAAGAGUAACGGAGGAGCACGAAGGUUGGCUAAUCCUGGUCGGACAUCAGGAGGUUAGUGCAAUGGCAUAAGCCAGCUUGACUGCGAGCGUGACGGCGCGAGCAGGUGCGAAAGCAGGUCAUAGUGAUCCGGUGGUUCUGAAUGGAAGGGCCAUCGCUCAACGGAUAAAAGGUACUCCGGGGAUAACAGGCUGAUACCGCCCAAGAGUUCAUAUCGACGGCGGUGUUUGGCACCUCGAUGUCGGCUCAUCACAUCCUGGGGCUGAAGUAGGUCCCAAGGGUAUGGCUGUUCGCCAUUUAAAGUGGUACGCGAGCUGGGUUUAGAACGUCGUGAGACAGUUCGGUCCCUAUCUGCCGUGGGCGCUGGAGAACUGAGGGGGGCUGCUCCUAGUACGAGAGGACCGGAGUGGACGCAUCACUGGUGUUCGGGUUGUCAUGCCAAUGGCACUGCCCGGUAGCUAAAUGCGGAAGAGAUAAGUGCUGAAAGCAUCUAAGCACGAAACUUGCCCCGAGAUGAGUUCUCCCUGACUCCUUGAGAGUCCUGAAGGAACGUUGAAGACGACGACGUUGAUAGGCCGGGUGUGUAAGCGCAGCGAUGCGUUGAGCUAACCGGUACUAAUGAACCGUGAGGCUUAACCUUACAACGCCGAAG
rnacentral:rRNA from 1 species